rnacentral:rRNA from 1 species
UACGUAGGAUGCGAGCGUUGUCCGGAGUUACUGGGCGUAAAGCGUGUGCAGGCGGUCGUCUGCGUCUGGGUGAAAUCUCCUGGCUCAACUGGGAGGGUGCCACGGAUACGGGGCGACUUGAGGACUUGAGAGGGAAGUAGAACUCCCGGUGGAACAGUGAAAUGUGUAGAGAUCGGGAAGAAUACCAGAGGGGAAGCCGGCUUCCUGGCAAGUACCUGACGCUCAGACACGAAAGCUUGGGGAGC